ensembl:lncRNA
UGCAGGGUCACCAACCACCAGACCAGGCUGCCCAGAGCCACAUCCAGCCUGGCCUUGAAUCCCUCCAGGGAUGGGGCAUCCACAACCUCCUUGGGCAACCUGUUCCAGUGCGUCACCACCCUCUGGGUGAGAUUGUCCCCUCCAGCCUGUAUGUCUUACCUAAUCUGUCAAAUCUCCUCGUAGAGAGUAGGACCUCUGUCACUGCAUUUCAGAACAAGGCACUCUAUAACUGGGCAAAUACCGGUGCAAAAACGUGAAUCUUUUUUUACCUGUUGCAUCCACUUUAGCAAUCUCUACUGGCUUCAAAAUAUGCAUGUAAUCCUAUACUGAAUAAUCUCUUUUCAUAUAGCCUGUGCUAAUCUUAACACUAUGAUGUCAUCCAAAAUCCACAGUAUUGGUGAAACAUGUUUUAAUAUUCCAGCUCUUUUGAUCAUCCCUCGUAAAUCAAUCCCUCAAUCUCUUUAAUUAUUUUAAUUGCUCUUCUUUAAAUUCCCCUUGAGUGUAAUUUUCUAAUAGGAAGAUUUCCCAAAAUAUCCCAGGCAUGACUUAGUUAAGUAGUAGGCAAAGAGUAGUCAUGCCAAAGGAACGGAAGAGAAAAAUCUGUUAGUUUCUUCCUCAGUGAUUCACUUCACUUGGAGGGGCAUCUGUGGGCUUUCUGAUAUGUCUGCUCUGUAAGACCACAUAUAAUUUACUGUCUGCUUUCACUCCUACAGGUCAAUACUGCAGAUUUCUUCCUUUUGCUGAAUGUUUUCCUGUGGCUAUACCAAGAUUUCCAAGCUCUUCAGAUGAAGUCCAGUGCUGAUCCAUAAAAUUCCCAACCACAUAAAAAAGAAUAGGCUGCAGAAUGCCAUGAAAUCACCGAUACCGUCGUAUUGUUCCCAUUAGAUCUCGUUUCUGCAGAUUCCUGCAAGAGAGGAGCCAAGAGCUGUAACGUUCGUAGUGCCUGACAACAUUAAUCAUCGAUCCUAUUGCGAACUGCUUCUGGGUGGGAUGUUUCUGGGUUUGUAACUACAUAUGGCUCCUAUCAUUUGCGGCUUCCGCAAGCAAUUCUAGUUAUCCUUCAUUAAAAAGACUUUAAAUAAAA